UUCCUACUGUAUCUCUGUUCUGUUCUUAUGAAUUCAUUUGCUUUGUCAUAAAAACAUUUGAAGUGUGUACAAGAUUUUCUUUUUUCUCCAAUGUCCUUGACGUUGGAUUUGAAAUAAGGGUCGUUGGAUAUGUGGGAGUUGAUAGAUUUAUCCACGCAUUGCAUUAACGCCAGAGAUUGUGGAUUCAGUUUGAAGAGAAUCUCCUCGAGGAGAUGAAAGGGAUAAUGAUGCUCUUAGACCAGUAUAUGUUUUGGCUAUCGCAAGUGAUGCUUGUCAAGAUAACCUGCAAGUACAGCUAUUAGACAGGCGGAUAUGAGAUCAAGAGCAUGCCUCGAAAAUAUGAACUUUUUCUUUUAAAAGAUUGGGGACUCAGAAUGAGUAACUUUUAUUCUUUCCUUCAUUCUUAUAAGUCUUGUAUUACAUUGAAAGCAUUGUACAACAGAGUUUACAUGCCCAUUUGCUUUUCCAUUCUUCUUUCUUUUGUCUAGCUUACCGAACAUUAGUCAAAAAGAAAACUAAAGAAGGCUAUGAAAACUUUUCCUCAUUAAAGA